rnacentral:lncRNA from 1 species
UUUUCCUAUUUUCUAAUUUCUGAUUUUAUUUCUUUUAUUUCUUUUAUUUCUUUUAAUUCCAUUUCUUUUUAAAAAUUCAUAUCUCUCUCAUUAUUGGUCCAAAAAUUAUGGGACCAACUUCAUUCUUCUCUCAUUAGCAUUUGAUAUUUUUUAGUAAUUUUCUCUUUUCUGCUUAUUUUUAAUUCAUUUAAAAUAGUUUUUGAUAUUCAAAAAAUACAAAAAUA